UUUACUCAGUGAUGGCACAGGCUCAGAAUGAAAAAACAAUGACAUUGUCCUAAGUAGAGCACUGAAGUUCACAGACAAGCAGUUCUUCCACUGACUUACAGUAGGCAUUCCUUGGGACGAGAGCCUUGCAUCUGCAUCCUUCUGUGAAGCACUGACACUGAUGAGCACUUGCUCGUCAUGCAAGAAGUGCAGAAUGCCAUUUAACAGCAGCAUGAAGCAGAGCAGAGUCUUUGACAAGUGCCAUGUGACCUUGUCACCACUGCAAACCUCUCUUCAGUGGAAGCAAGCUCGAAUGGCAGCACUUUGCACAGGGCUCUGGCCCCGUAAGCCUGCUCAGGGCUCCCUCCUUCCCCCGGAAGCUUUGCAGGUAAGGGAGUGCAGCGCCGGCAGCGAGCAAUGGAUGUCCUUCUCUGGGGGUCUUUUGGUUUCCUCAGAGCUCCUGGUCUAAAGGAACUGAUCCUGCAGACCUGCUGCUUCACACGAGUGCUCGAUCUGGAGCCUGGCACUUCUGGCUGUUAGCUGUUUCCACACUGCUGCUGUCCACAGGGGUGGCUGAUAAAGCAAAAAUGCACUCAAGUCCAGAGAGCUGUGAUGACUUACUUCUGUGCUGUGGAAUGAAGCCUUUGAUGCUGACUUCUGUAAUUUAUUCUAUUCUGAGUUUUCCACUGAAGUGUUAUUAAAAUCUAUUAGAAAAGGCUAAGGCAGAUUGAGGGUGGUAGAUAAAGCUAAAUGGGUUUUAUUUUCCUCUCUGCUCGAAACGCAUGGCUGUGAUAUGACAGAAAUAGAAGCAGUAAGUAAAUAAAGCUUCCAGCUUGUUUCCCAAAUACUGUUCAGUAAAAACCAACCGAGCCACGUUCCAAGGGAGCACUCUGGUGGAACUGUGGAACCUGGAAGCAAAAGCCCGUUCCAUCCAAAGGGCGCCAGCAGCCUCUGCGCCGGGGGUCGCUCAGGCAAGGCGAUGAACACAGGAGCCAGCCCUUCCCCUCCUCCAGCCCUCCUCCUCAAGGACUAGAGAGUAAUCUUUGUAAAGGCAAAUUAACUUCAGAGAACAGCAGAUCCGCAGGCCUGUAGGAUGCGUGGCAUCGGGCCAAGUACUCGCUAUUGGCUGUUAAUUGGGAUGUGCAGCGUCCCUCCCUCCUGCGGGCCUGUGUGCCCGAAGGGUGGCAAAAGCAGGCAGUCCUCUGCCCCUCAAAGCCAUCCCUGGCAAUGGGCACACCCUGUCGACAAGAGGUGCGUGGCUGCCUUCCAGACCCUGCCGGAACAGAAGCAGAGCUCAUUUAUCUUAGGCUUUAGCAGCCCCAAGCGUUAGCAGGAAGCCCAGGAGGGCACAGGACACCUUCCGCUGCUCCCCGGCACAAAAUAAAGGUGAUGCUGAGGAGCUUGCAGUGGAUGUCAGACAACCUGGGAGGGAAGCUCCAACCCCGUGUGAGCUGGGGGUGAGGGAAAGCCAUGGAUUUGCCCAGGAGGCUUUCUUCUGCCUGGCAGUGAAGGCAGGAAUAAAGGAGCCUUACACUGAGGAGUUCUCUGCCGGUUUGCCGGCGAGCCAUGCCCCGCGGCACCGCGCUUAGGAACCUGACAACUCGGAGUCGCGCAUCACAGCGUGGGAACUCAAUCCGCCCGUGGACCGCGGCAGAGUUCGGAUUCUGGAGACAGAAACCCAGAAGGCUUAAUCUGUACUUAAAAUGAAGGGGGAAACUCAGUGUGAGCUGCAGGGAAGGAAAGGACCUUCUAAGGAAUUCUUUUUUCCCACGUCGCUGUGGUUCUGUGGCAGCACUGCCCAGUGGGCUGGGCUGGGCGUGCGGGGCUCGAUGUGCCAAGUGAUGGUUGGCAGCUCUAGGCGAUUUUGAAUCCAGUCCCUCACACACUGCUAACCCUGCAUCUUAUGCCCAUUUCUCUGUUCUGAGCAGCAGAAGAUGGAAGGACUUGCU